CCUACGGGAGGCUGCAGUGAGGAAUAUUGGUCAAUGGACGCGAGUCUGAACCAGCCAAGUCGCGUGAAGGAUGACUGCCCUAUGGGUUGUAAACUUCUUUUAUAUGGGAAUAAACUGUUCUACGCGUGGCAUUUUGUAUGUACCAUAUGAAUAAGGAUCGGCUAACUCCGUGCCAGCAGCCGCGGUAAUACGGAGGAUCCGAGCGUUAUCCGGAUUUAUUGGGUUUAAAGGGAGCGUAGGUGGAUGGUUAAGUCAGUUGUGAAAGUUUGCGGCUCAACUGUAAAAUUGCAGUUGAAACUGGCAGGCUUGAGUACAGUAGAGGUGGGCGGAAUGCGUGGUGUAGCGGUGAAAUGCUUAGAGAUCACGAAGAACUCCGAUUGCGAAGGCAGCUCACUAGGCUGCAUCUGACAUUGAGGCUCGAAAGUGUGGGUAUCAAACAGGAUUAGAUACCCCUGUAGUC
rnacentral:rRNA from 1 species